AGAAAUCUGUAGUUAGUAAAAGAAGCAAAUAGUUCAUGUAAACUCAACAGCCUAAAUCAUGGAGGCGAGAGGUUUUAAUUAAGGUGGCUCUGUGAGGAUGCAGGUGGUGAGCAGCUGUUGGCAAUAUGGAGCCUUGCUCUGCAAUGGCUCGCUGCACAUUGCUGGUUUUUCAUGGCAGGUGCCUUUGGUUUGCUGCUGAAGCAGACACUGAUAAAUAGUCGGUGUGACGUGAGAUCUAGUUGCUUUCUAUUCUUCCUUUCAACCAAAAGGACUCAAAACCCACUACUUUUAAUGGAAACUUCGCUACUCGAGCAUGACGUAGCUGGAGAUUAGCAAAACAAUGGUUUCUGCCCCCUGCCUCUCUCAGCCUUCAUCCGUGUCACCUCCUGCACCAUCUUCGAACAGGAAAGGUUGGAUAUGUGGAGUGAGGAAGGUCAAGAAGACGUGUGAGCUCUGAGCCAGCUGGAUGCUGCACAAUGAAAUCAUCUCCUUGCCUGGCAUUUGCCACUUUGUUCCUCCACAAUGGUACAUCACCAGGUUAUAAAAUCAGCACCCAUCGAAGGCCAGCCACUAAACAAGAGCCCCAAUACAUGAUCAGUCAGAAUGCAGCUUGUCCACAUUGCAUCUUUUACUUAGUCUCUAAGCCUUGUGUCACUCACAGAUACUUGGGUUGUAACCCAGAACUGUAAGCUCAAGUGUUUUCUUUCAACAAGAUGAUUGAGACGAGGUGAAGAAUGCUUGCAAGCAUCCUGAGAGCUUUGUGGAGUUGAGCUGGUCUCUGAGAUCCAGCAUCUGAAGGGAGACUAGCAGAGUCCAAAGCCUCUCUUGUCACUCAUUCUUAUCUGAAGGCUGAACAAAGAGACAGCAAGGACAGGCUUCUUUACCUGAUGGCCCUAGAACCAUUUUGGGCUUGAUUC